rnacentral:rRNA from 1 species
UGGGGAAUUUUGGACAAUGGGCGAAAGCCUGAUCCAGCAAUGCCGCGUGUGUGAAGAAGGCCUUCGGGUUGUAAAGCACUUUUGUCCGGAAAGAAAUCCUUGGCUCUAAUACAGUCGGGGGAUGACGGUACCGGAAGAAUAAGCACCGGCUAACUACGUGCCAGCAGCCGCGGUAAUACGUAGGGUGCAAGCGUUAAUCGGAAUUACUGGGCGUAAAGCGUGCGCAGGCGGUUUGCUAAGACCGAUGUGAAAUCCCCGGGCUCAACCUGGGAACUGCAUUGGUGACUGGCAGGCUAGAGUAUGGCAGAGGGGGGUAGAAUUCCACGUGUAGCAGUGAAAUGCGUAGAGAUGUGGAGGAAUACCGAUGGCGAAGGCAGCCCCUGGGCCAAUACUGACGCUCAUGCACGAAAGCGUGGGGAGCAAACAGGAUUAGAUACCCUGGUAGUCCACGCCCUAAACGAUGUCAACUAGUUGUUGGGGACUUCAUUUCCUUAGUAACGUAGCUAACGCGUGAAGUUGACCGCCUGGGGAGUACGGUCGCAAGAUUAAAACUCAAAGGAAUUGACGGGGUCAUAGCUG